rnacentral:rRNA from 1 species
GAUGAACGCUAGCGGCAGGCCUAAUACAUGCAAGACGAACGGUAAGUUGAGUAGCAAUACUUAGCCAAGAGUGUCGUACGGGUGCGUAACACGUAUGCAACCUACCCUAUACAGGAGGAUAGCCUAGGGAAACCUGGAUUAACCCUUCAUAGUAUUAUUGGAUGGCAUCAUUUGAUAAUUAAAACUGAGGUGGUAUAGGAUGGGCAUGCGUCUGAUUAGUUAGUUGGCGGGGUAAUGGCCCACCAAGACGAUGAUCAGUAGGGGUUCUGAGAGGAAGAUCCCCCACACUGGCACUGAGAUACGGGCCAGACUCCUACGGGAGGCAGCAGUAGGGAAUAUUGGUCAAUGGAUGCAAGUCUGAACCAGCCAUGCCGCGUGAGUGAUGAAGGCC